rnacentral:rRNA from 1 species
AUGCACGCUGGCGGCGUGCUUCACCCCUGCCAGUCGCACGGAAAGGCCCAAGCUUGCUUGGGUACUCGAGUGGCGAACGGGUGAGUAACACGUGGGUGAUCUGCCCUGCACUUCGGGAUAAGCCUGGGAAACUGGGUCUAAUACCGGAUAGGACCACAUUUUGGAUGGUGUGGUGGAAAGUUUUUCGGUGUGGGAUGAGCUCGCGGCCUAUCAGCUUGUUGGUGGGGUAAUGGCCUACCAAGGCGUCGACGGGUAGCCGGCCUGAGAGGGUGUACGGCCACAUUGGGACUGAGAUACGGCCCAGACUCCUACGGGAGGCAGCAGUGGGGAAUAUUGCACAAUGGGCGCAAGCCUGAUGCAGCGACGCCGCGUGGGGGAUGACGGCCUUCGGGUUGUAAACUCCUUUCGCUAGGGACGAAGCGCAAGUGACGGUACCUGGAGAAGAAGCACCGGCUAACUACGUG